GGUCCUCCAUAGCUCAGUGGUUAGAGCGCCCAACCGGCACUUGGAAGGUCAUGGGUUUGAUUCCCGUUGGGAGCU
rnacentral:tRNA from 1 species